rnacentral:lncRNA from 1 species
GCAAAAUAGGCUUAUAAUGUGUAGAUUACAAUCUCUUUGAGCUUCCACUUCAGAACUCUAACCACAAGAUUGUGAUCAUCAGCACCGUGCCAAUACCCAAUCGAUCUUCUAGAGCGCAUCUGGGCAAUCGACACAAUUCAGAGAUUAGGGAUCGACCACCAUUUUCGGAAGGAAAUAUACGACACUCUCGACUAUGUAUAUAGGUAAUGCCGAAAAGAAACAUUUGAACCAUUCUAUACUUGAAAUACUCGAAAACCAGCCUAUACUUGAUUCCAUGGAAUCUAAAUUAUGAUAAGAGAUCUUCUUAAGCUACAAAAGAUGUGGAUUUCAAAAUUUGCAUUUGAGCGGAAUUUUUCUUUUCGACUCAUAUUAUCUCUCUACAGGAAUGCCGGCAAACAAGGAGUUUCUUGGGGCAGAGACAAUCCUGUCCCUGACAUCGAUGAUACUUGCAUGGCUCUCCGCCUAAUGCGGUUGCAAGGAUUUCCUGUGUCCUCAGGUAAAAGUUUUAUGUCGAUGUAACAAUCUAGCAAUAAAGUUUGAUCAGAUUUUCUCAUUAAUGUUUCAUCGUCGACAAUUUAGUCCUCGUAAGUGCGAUUCUAGUACAAACCAUUAAAACAAUUUGUACCUGAACAGAUGUCCUGGAGUACUUCAAAGACGAUGACGGCACCUUGAUAUGCUUUCCAGGACAAACUCAUCGAGGAGUCUCCGACAUGUUCAACUUAUACAGGUACUCCCAGGUUGCCUUCCCGGGGGAGAAGAUACUGAAAGAAGCCAAAGCUUUUGCCGAAGAGUACUUAAAGAACUGCGUCGAAAACAACGAAGUUAACGACAAGUGGUCCUUAAAGAAGGCCUUGGACAAAGAGGUACACUUUCCGUAAAAUACAUAUAGAGGCAGUUGUUAGGAAUCUUUCAUGAUAUUUUCAACACGCAAGUAAAUUUCAAGUCCUAAAUUCUAAAGCUAUCACAUGAGUAGGUCGAUCAUGCCCUAAAAGUACCGUGGAGGAUGAGUUUUGAGAGGCUCGAAGCACGGGAGUACAUCGACCAAUACGGCGAACUAGAUGUCUGGAUUGCCAAGACCAUCUACUGGUAUGUCGACGCCCUAUGAAAUAAUAAUUCUGCAUAGUUUACAUAUUAAUCAACUAAGUUUUAUCACUUAGGAUGUAUAAUGUCAAUGAUCCGAAGUACAUGGAACUCGCCAAGCUAGACUACAACAAGCUCCAAACACUGUACAAAGCGGAGAUCGACUCCAUUCUAAAGUAAGUUUAGCUCUUGUUAUAAUCUGAUAAAAGCAUAUAAUGAAUUGAAUUAACAUGAACUCUUACAUUUGUUUCAGAUGGUGGAAUAGUUGCAGCUUUGAUGACCCUCUUGUCGGCAAUGCAUGCCCUAGAGAGACCCACUUUGCUAUUGCCGCGACUCUUU